rnacentral:rRNA from 1 species
UACGGAGGGUGCAAACGUUAAUCGGAAUUACUGGGCGUAAAGCGCACGUAGGCGGCCUUGUAAGUCGGAUGUGAAAGCCCCGGGCUCAACCUGGGAAUGGCAUUCGAGACUGCGGGGCUGGAGUUUGGGAGAGGGUGGUGGAAUUCCCGGUGUAGCGGUGAAAUGCGUAGAGAUCGGGAGGAACAUCAGUGGCGAAGGCGGCCACCUGGCCCAAAACUGACGCUGAGGCACGAAAGCGUGGGGAGCAAACAGG